rnacentral:rRNA from 1 species
UUGCACCCCUAGGUCAGGCGAGAACACCUGCCGAGUUUAAGCAUAUCACUAAGUGGAGGAAAAGAAACUUACAAG